UUCGGUCGAGAAGACCUACGUCCACGGGGGUUUUGGGGGUUUUCCACUAUAAUUGAGAGAGUAUUUUACAAUUUACAAGUUGUAGGCUAAGAAAUGACUAUAUCUUAGAAUGAGAGCUAAAAGGAGCUAUUUAUAGGAAAGGGAGAAAGUAAGGGCCCAUUAACCCACUAGCCCUAAAUAAUUGGGCCCAAGCCCCUAUUACAUGAGCUUCGCUCUUUAAUCGAACCGAGAGUCGAGCUGCGCUGCUGUAGUAAUUCCCUGUCAAGUCCAACUGAACCAAAUAUUAAUAAUAAUAAUAGCAUUAAUAAUAAAGAUAAAAGGAAAAUACUAUAGCCCUGUUUAGCACAGCGUUGGUGCAUAUUUCAGUCCUCAUCAGCUACUCCCCCCAAGUCUGGUUGAACCGGGUAUUCUUCGUGUUCAGCCAGCGAAGUAUUGUUAAAGCUAGCGCUGUGCUGUUUUCCUUAAUCCCUGCAAAUCAUGAAGACAUAAGAGUUUUAAUACUGUAAGAAAGCAAAGAUAAGCAUUUUCCCCUUGACUUUGGAAUUGUAGUUCCAAGUUAGAUUUCCUUCUUGUUUGUUGAAUGUUGACAAAGAUAAAUAAUUUCCAUUUCUUUGGGCGCAUAAGAAGACCAGCGCUGAGAAUACCCCAUAUUGAAUACUUUGCAUAGAUAAGCAAUAUAAAUGCUUUGUGUUGGAUGAAUCAGAAGACCGUUGCAAGAAUACCCGAAUAACAUAGGAAGACCCAUGUCGAAGUUGAGAAAUAUGAUACUCUGAUCAUGUGAGAAAACCCGUCAUAAAUAUUUGUCGAGUCUGAACAAUAUACCCUGUUGUUGAGCGCGUAAGAAAUCCAGCGCGUGAGAAGACCAAUAGAUAAUCCGCGCGUAAGAAAACCAGCGCAUGAGAAGACCGAUGGAUGACAGUAGCACGCCAAAAGGCGGCUUAUUUCUCGCUGAGCAGCGAUUAGAAUAGAUCAAAGCAGCCCAUAGAGCAGAGGCGCAAAAUAGUGUAGCCCGUAGAGUAGAGCAGAGCAUCCCAUAGAGUAGGGUAGAGCAGCCACAGAGUAGCGAAGAGCAUUGAAAUCACGGCAGAGCAUUGGAAUCAUGGCAGAGCAUUGAAAUCACGGCAGAGCAUUGAAAUCACGGCAGAGCAUUGAAAUCACGGCAGAGCAUUGAAAUCACGGCAGAGCAUUGAAAUCAUGGCAGAGCAUUGAAUCCACGGCAGAGCAUUGAAUCAACUGGCAGAGCAUUGGAAUCACGGACGGUGGCAGAGCAUUGGGAUCACGGACGGUGGCAGAGCAUUGGGAUCACGGACGGUGGCAGAGCAUUCCUCUGCUGCUUCCCUCCUUUGUAUGCAUUCCUUUGCUGCUUCCCUCCUUUGUGUGCAUUCCUUUGCUGCUUCCCUCCUUGCCGGCUGGAACACUCUGCGCGGAGCAUGGAAGACCCGGGGGGUGCAACCAACUUUCGCGGCUUACGAUUAAACAGUAACCCUCUGCGCGGAGCAUGGAAGACCCGGAGGGUGCAACCAACUUUCGCGGCUUACGAUUGAACAGUAACCCUCUGCGCGGAGCAUGGAAGACCCCGGGGGUGCAACCAACUUUCGCGGCUUACGAUUGAAUAGUAACCUCUGCGCGGAGCAUGGAAGACCCGGGGGGUGCAACCAACUUUCGCGGCUUAUGAUUGCUUGUUUCUCUCUGCGCGGAGCAUGGACGGGCCGGGUGGCACAACCAACUUUCGCGGCUUUACGAUUGUCAGUAACCCCUCUGUUCUGGUUGAGCGUGACCCCUCUGCUCUGGUGGAGCGUAAUUCCUCUGGUUUGCCCUAGUCUUGCUGAGAAGCAAUUUUGAAUUUGAAAAUUGGGGACUACGGGUAUACACCCUACUCCCCCCUCUGGUGACAUGUGCAAUACUCUGUUAUGAACAUGUUAAGUGUGUGUGUGUUUGGUGCUCAUGCUUGUGAUGAUUGUGAGAGAGUUAGCAUAACUACAAUUCCCAAGUAACAUAAUUCAAGUUGCAGUUCAAGCCCUAGCACAUAUGCAGAAGGUGUGCAGCUUCGUGUAUUUAGUCAAUUCAUAAUCCAGCCCUAGGCACAUAUGCAGAAGGUGUGCAUCUUCCAAGACAUAAUUAUUAUUGCAUAAAUUCCAGCAUAGAUCAUAUAAGUCAUGGUUUUGCCCAAGUAAAGAAGUAGAAUAUUUCCCAAAUCCCUAUCAUGCUUACAUGUUCCCAUAAAAUACCCUAAGAUCAUAAUUUACCUAGUGAUAAAGCAUAAUACUCCCCAACAUGCUCACAUGCUUCCACGAGAUAAAGUUCAGCGAAGUACCUGAAUUACCACUUACAAGUGGUUUACCGUUUUCAUGCUAUGGCGGUUCCCAUGUUUGUUCAAGCUUUCCCAAAUUUAAUUGCCCUGUGCUACAAGAUCUCUUAGGCACAGAUAUUAGUAUAAAUAUGAAAGCCCCUUUAAGACAAGGCUGUAAAGAGAAUUCAAACCCUAGAUUAUAUAAUCCAUUGCCACAACUUGAUUCCCAUAAAAGAUCAUAUACCGAUGAAUUCAUUCAAAUUUUCAAAUCCCAUCAAAGAUCAUAUAAAUCAUGAUUUUGCCCAAGUGAUAAAAUAUCACAUAUCCCAAUCAUGCUCCUCCCAUUGAUAGAGUUCAGCGAAAUACCUGAAUUACCACUUGCUAGUGGGUUACCCUGUUUUACAUUAUGGUAUUUACCAUAAUUGUUCAAAUCAUUCCCCAAAUUUGUUUAUCCUGUGCUACAAAAGUUCUUAAGCACAUAUAUAUUAGUAAAGUAUGAGAGCCCUUAGUAGAUAGGGCUGUAANCGCGGCUUACGAUUAAGAGAACACCCUGCACGGAGCAUGGAAGACCCGGGGGUGCACCAACUUUCGUGGCUUACGGUUAAGAGAACACCCUGCACGGAGCAUGGAAGACCCGGUGGAUGCAACCAACUUUCGUGGCUUACGGUUAUUGGAACAACUCGCUAAACAGCGAUUAACACUCAUUUGCUCCCUCCCGAGUGAAUGCUGAUUGUGGGUGUACACCCUACUCCCCCCUCUGGCGACAUGUGCAUGCCUCGCAAAAACAUGUCAAGUGUGUGUGUUUGGUGCUCAUGCUUGUGAUGAUUGUGAGAGAGUUAACAUAACUACAAUUCCCAAGUAACAUAAUUCAAGUUGCAUUUCAAGCCCUAGCACAUAUGCAGAAGGUGUGCAGCUUCGUGUAUUAAUAAUAUCAUAUUUCAAGUCUAAGCACAUAUGCAGAAGUUGUGCAGCUUCCAAGAUGAUGUUUUGAUUGCAUAAAUCCCAUCAAAGAUCAUAUAAGUCAUGAUUUUGCCCAAGUAAAGAAGUAGAAUAUUUCCCAAAUCCCUAUCAUGCUUACAUGUUCCCAUAAAAUACCCUAAGAUCAUAAUUUUACCUAGUGAUAAAGCAUAAUACUCCCCCAACAUGCUCACAUGCUUCCACGAGAUAAAGUUCAGCGAAGUACCUGAAUUACCACUUACAAGUGGUUUACCGUUUUCAUGUUAUGGCGGUUCCCAUGUUUUGUUCAAAGCUUUCCCAAAUUUAAUUGCCCUGUGCUACAAGAUCUCUUAGGCACAGAUAUUAGUAUAAAUAUGAAAGCCCCUUUAAGACAGGGCUGUAAAGAGAAUUGGAACUCUAGAUUAUAUAAUCUAUUGCCACAACUUGAUUCCCAUAUUCAAAUACCGAUGAAUUCAUUCAAAUUUUCAAAUCCCAUCAAAGAUCAUAUAUUAUGCCCGAUUGUUAAAGUAUAACAUAUCCCAAUCAUACUCUUCCCAUUGAUAGAGUUCAGCGAAAUACCUGAAUUACCACUUACUAGUGGUUUACCCUGUUUUACAUUAUGGUAUUUACCAUAAUUGUUCAAAUCAUUCCCCAAAUUUGUUUAUCCUGUGCUACAAAAAUUCUUAAGCACAUAUAUAUUAGUAAAAUAUGAGAGCCCUUAGAGAUAGGGCUGUAAAUCAAUUAACAAGUAAAAAAGUGUACGCUUUGCUUUUCCCAAGUAACAGUGCCGCCCUAAACAUUUAUUCCACCGAAUAAAAGUUAUGAGAAUCCCCAAAAAUGACACAUAAAUUAGAAUAUUUGUGUCCCAAUGGCUGAAAUUCACAAUCCUGAAAUCACGAUUCUCAAAGAGAAAGUAUAAUGGAUAAACAAUAAUUAUUUGUCAGUGCAUAUGAUAUGAAACCACGAAUUCAAAAAUGUCUUUAACCCAAAAACCCAUGUCAUGGUUAGUCUUUUUUGUGAGUAUGUUCAACAGCCCUGUCUUGAUGCUAUAACAUUCCCCAAAAAUUGAGCCUAGGACCCGAGCAAGUAACUAGCGGAGCUGUCAUUUGUCCCCUUGUCAGGAGCUCCCAUUAAUAAACCAUAUUUGGUCUUGGCUAGGCAAUCGUAGUGCUUUCAACAACGAGCAAGUGUUGAAAUAUCCGUCUUGGUGGCCCUGAACUCACAAUGCGACAGGGCUAAGUUAGUGCAACAAAAUGAUCGAAUCAAUCCCCAAAAUCAGAGCAAAAAUGAAACAAGAAUUGCAAAAAUCAGAUCAAAAGCAAUAUCAGUCCCGGAAUAAAAGCAAAACCAUUAUUCUCUGAUUUCCAUCCUGUAUAUACUAUUUCUUUUCUUCCUUAAUAAAUAAACAAAUUCCUUUUCUACUCAUUGCGUAGUGCCAGCAAUUUCCAGAUUAAACCAAAGCAGCACAAACCGAAAGUAUCUCUCUGUGGUGCAUUUCUUGAGUUGAUGACAGACCCCUCAAGUAGAUAUAAGAUUUUUAGCAGGAAACAAACACCAUAGAUGAAAAUAUAUAACGCAAAGACAUUCACAAAUCAAGUCAUAGUAAUUUACUAAAUCAAAGUUUGAUCCCGACAGAACAUCAUAGAUCACUCGAGGAAUUAGAUUUCCUUUUAUACUCCACAGUGAAAGGUUUGAAUUCAGUAAACUGCUAUCCGAGGCCCAGUUUAAAAGUAUAAGCAUAUAGUUAAACAUAAUUUCUAGUUAAACAGAGUUUCUGCAACAACAUACUUCAAAAUGCCCUCUAAAGCCCGGGAUCAUUACCAAUUCCCAACAUAGUACCAGAUGCAAAACGGAGAGUAUCAAUAUCAUUCCCAAAUAUCCUCAUUGAUUACAACAAACACCUCUCAGCACAUUUAACCUCAAAGUAUAUAUUAUAUCUAUUUCACACACAUUACACAGUAAGGAAAAUCAAGAUUUUAGAGUAGAGUAAAUUUGGACUUAGCUUUUAGAAAGGAGGGGCACUGCCCCGUUUCCGUCGAGCUAGAAAGCGAGCGGCGAAUUUCGCCGAUGUCAUGACCCAUCAUCGAUGGCAGCCCUUGCUGAUUUUCAUCGACAUACAGCUCCAUUUUUGGAACCUAGGCCGACGGCACGACGGCGCAUCGAACCAGAGGCGCGGUGACACCGCGUUCGCCGGUCUUCCAGUUGCGGCGGCAGCGGAUUUGGCGUAGAAGGGGUUGGAUGUGGCGGCCUGCAGCCGGCGGUUGAUGUGGAGUGUGAUUUCAGAAUUCCAAUUGGGGCUUUUCGACCUAGCCCUGAUGAACUCGAUGAUAGAGGGUUUCGAUUUUGGAAUCUGAUUUUCUAAUUUUGUGAUUUCCGAUUGGAGGUUGAAUUGCUCUUUGGAAUUGGGAUGAAGCAGGCUGGAUUUGUGCCCAGCGGCGGCAUACGCUGGAGUCCUGAGGUGGCAAUGGCUGCCGGAGAAUUAUGGAGCAGAGAGAUGGGCGACCAUUGUCCUCGGAAAACUGGAUCCCGCCGGAGAAGAGGAUGAGAUCUGAUUUUGGGAAUAUUAGAUUUCCUUUUUCGGGGAAAAAAGACGAGACUGAGAUUUGGUGAGAGAGAGAGUGGCGGUCGGAUUCCCUCGCGACGGCGCUGGCCGGAAUUCGAGAUGGUGGUAGUCGAUCCAAUUCGAGAUGCUAAUGCUCCGACUGUGAAAAUCGAGAUCUGAAAAUUUUUCUCUUCGUCCUAAGAAUAGUAAUGAACAACCACCUCCCAAUGAACAGUAACUUCAAUUCCCCAAUUUUUGCGAUGAACAAUAACCAAAUCCCCAAUUUUCCAAAAUAUUCGAUGAACAGUAAUCGGUGAUGAACAGGAACUCCCCCAAUUUGUUUUUUGUAAGCUCGUCGGAACUCACGACGUAGCUCCGAUCCUUUCCCACAGAUGGCGCCAGUUGGUGAAACGAGAAACUAACACCUAAACUAGAAAGCAGUAAACGACAUCGGAUUUACGUGGUUCGGUCGAGAAGACCUACGUCCACGGGGGUUUUGGGGGUUUUUCCACUAUAAUCGAGAGAGUGUUUUACACUUUACAAGUUAUGGCUAGAAAAAAUGACUAUCUCCCUUUAAUCUAUGCAUCAAGGCCCUAUUUAUAAGCAUGAACAUAAACUUAAGGCCCUUGGGCCCACUAGACCCCUAAAGCCUAAUAGCCCAAUGAAUCCAGCCCAAGUCCCGUUAUUCUAAUCUACAUCUUGAAAUUGAGCCAUCAGAGCUGGAAAGCGAAGCCAAGCUGAGCUAAGCCGAGAGUCAGGGCAAUCCUGUAUCAAAUAUCAGAAAUAAUCACAAUAACAAUAAUAAUAAUAAUGAUCAUAACUAGAAAUAUUCCCGUUAUGUUUAGCACAGCGCUGGUGCAUAUUUCAGUCCUCAUCA
rnacentral:lncRNA from 1 species